GCCUUCGUGGUGUAGCGGUCAGCACGCUCAACACUUAUUCAAGAGAUCCGUGGUUCGAAUCCUGGCGAGGGCA
rnacentral:tRNA from 1 species